ensembl:lncRNA
UCUGCAGUCCUGUUUGAUGUGCUGUAUUCACUGUGUUUAGAACAUAUCUGCUGUCCUGUUUGAUGUGCUGUAUUCACUGUGUUUAGAACAUAUCUGCUGUCCUGUUUGAUGUGCUGUAUUGAAUGUGUUUAGAACAUGUAUCCUCUCCUGUUUGAUGUGCUGUAUUCACUGUGUUUAGAAUGUAUCUUCUCUCCUGUUUGAUGUGUUGUAACUGUGUUUAGAAUUCCUAUGCUCAGUUCACUUGCACGCAUACUGGUGAGGAAACAGAGAGAGAGAGUGAGUGGGUGGGAUUGUGUGUGUGUGUGUUCAAACCCCCAAUGUGAGUGUAAUGUUAGAGAAAUACAUACAGGAGAAACAGUAGAAACAGUAAGUACAGGUGAGAUAAUAGAUUUAGCAGAGACAUUAGAAACAGGAGACAAGCGACAUUAAGAGAUAGUAAAAGCAGGAGAUGCAGUGUAGACAGUAGAGAUAUUACAGUCAGGAGACACUAGAGACAAAAGUAUAAAUAGAGACAAUGAGAAACAGGAGAGUCCAUAGAGACAGGAGAAACAGGAGAGAUGGUAAAGAUAGGAAAGACAGUAGAGGCAGGAAAAGCUGGAAGUACAGUAGAGGCAGGAUAGACAGUAGAGGCAGGGUAGACAGUAGAGGCAGUAGAGCUGGGAGAGACAGGAGAGGAAGAUGGAUAAGAAAAGGUUAGGGUUAGGGAUUAGGGUUACGGGGUUAGGAGAUUAGGUUUAGGGGGUUAUGGAUUAGAGUUAGGGGGUUAGGGAUUAGGGUUAUGGGGUUAGGGGGUUAGGGAUUAGGGUUAGGGGGUUAGAGUUAGGGGGUUAGGGGUUAGGGGGUUAGGGGGUUAGGGAUUAGAGUUAGGGGGUUAGGGUUAGGGAUUAGAGUUAGGGGGUUAGGGAUUAGGGUAAAGUGUUAGGGUUAUGAGCACAUAAUUUGCAAACUGCAGACCCUUUCUAAAAAUAACAGAUUUGUCACAGACUGCACAUCACUAAUAAG